rnacentral:rRNA from 1 species
UACGUAGGGGGCAAGCGUUGUCCGGAUUCAUUGGGCGUAAAGAGCGUGUAGGCGGCCAGAUAGGUCAGCUGUGAAAACUCGGGGCUCAACCCUGAGACGUCGGUUGAAACCAUCUGGCUAGAGUCCGGGAGAGGAGAGUGGAAUUCCUGGUGUAGCGGUGAAAUGCGCAGAUAUCAGGAAGAACACCCGUGGCGAAAGCGGCUCUCUGGAACGGUACUGACGCUGAGACGCGAAAGCGUGGGGAGCGAACAGG